GUAAACGAAAAGCCAUUUGCCUUUUCGCGUGUUGCCGCUUCCUUCUUUGUAUCUGAAGCAGUUAGGAGGGAAUCGGCGAGAAACCAUCGACGACGAGAAGAUAAACGAAAACCGGGACAGUGGUGGACGACUUAAAACCGGCGAAAGUGGCGGAGUGAGGGCUGUGAACGGCAAUGGCAUGAUUUUGCAGAUUUGUGGAAGGUAUGGCUCUAUUUUUCGAGAUCUGCUUGGUAUUGUGCUUGGCAUCUUAUACGGAAUGAUCUUGUCACCACGGAUGGGGAAUGGACAUGAAACUUGGAUAUUGCGCACAGGUGAGAUUUCCUUAGAUAUCUUUUGUUAUGCACGGAAAAAUAAAGAGCUGACGUGGAAGGAGUCACGUCAGGAGUAACCUGCCCCUGUCAGGACAAUGUGCGCACGUCAGACCUGCGAAUAAACAUGGAGCUUACACGCGUCCAUCUCUCUGCAGUAAGUCAUGCAAAGUCAGCUUGGAAAAAGGGAAAACGGGACGUGAAGAUAGAUAAUAUCCUGACAAUCACACCAACCCGUAGAUUUAGUGAUGAUUACACGCUUCCAUUCGAUAUAAAAUGAAGAGAACCUCACCAUUAAGGGGGUUGGUUCAUUCAUUACCGAAAAACAACUCUCUCACUUGUAAAAAAGAGAAGAGUAGCUCACUUUUCAUAACUUUUUGUACGUCAGUACGCUUUAGCGACCUGACCAACACUAAAAUCAA